rnacentral:misc_RNA from 1 species
GCUUGUGGAGUGAUCGGUAUCACCAAGUAGACUCCACUAGCCUCCACUCGGUCCACUGUUAUCUAUUGUCCUCUUGUUUUCUCACUUUUGUGGAUAUACAGCAAAAAAGCUACAAGUCUGAUAACUUGUCACAUUUAUCUGAUUGUGUGAUAAUAAUAAUAAUUUGUAAAAGAUGGUUCAGGAAAAUCAGACCACCUAUCCAUAUAUCAUGUACCUAUAUGUGACUCGAUCUCAGUAUCUAAAGCCCUAAUGGCAAAUGAAAGCUUCUUUAAAACUAAAUACGCUCUACAAUACAUUUACCAAAUCAAUGACACUUUUGUUUAUGUCUUAUAGAUCUAUACAUGUGAUAUGGUAAUAAAAUAUAUGUAAUAUG